rnacentral:rRNA from 1 species
AACGAACGCUGGCGGCAGGCCUAACACAUGCAAGUCGAGCGAACCUUCGGGUUAGCGGCGGACGGGUUAGUAACGCGUGGGAAUAUGCCCAAAGGUACGGAAUAGCCUCGGGAAACUGAGAGUAAUACCGUAUGUGCCCUUCGGGGGAAAGAUUUAUCGCCUUUGGAUUAGCCCGCGUUGGAUUAGGUAGUUGGUGGGGUAAUGGCCUACCAAGCCGACGAUCCAUAGCUGGUUUGAGAGGAUGAUCAGCAACACUGGGACUGAGACACGGCCCAGACUCCUACGGGAGGCAGCAGUGGGGAAUCUUAGACAAGUGGGGGAAACCCUGAUCUAGCCAUGCCGCGUGGACGAUGAAGGCCUUAGGGUUGUAAAGUCCUUUCAGCUGGGAAGAUAAUGACGGUACCAGCAGAAGAAGCCCGGACUAACUCCGUG